ensembl:lncRNA
CUUGGCUCAGAGUGAGUAGAACCUGUAAGUAUGAUGGAAUAUCACACUUGUGAUUAGGUUACUAACCAGUUGACUUAGAAUUAAUCAAAAGGAAGAUUAUCCUGGAUGGACCUGAUUUAAUCAAGUGGAAGAAAGUGAAGUGUCAGAGAAGAGAGCCCUGCUGGCAUAAGGAAAGCAAACAGCCAUGUUGUAAACUGCCUGUGGAGCUUAGAAGAAUCGUGUGAUGUAGCUACGUGAAAUAAUGUCUGAAACAAAGCAGAGUAUGCAGUUACUAAAAGAGACAAAAAUGAAAAGUGCUUGGUGUGAAACCAUUAAUCAAAAAGAAGUCACUGCUCACUACUCAACCAAAUGAAAUGCACCAGCGUGGUUUCCUUUUCUAACUCAGCAAUGUACUAGUCAAUCAUUCCUUAUAACAGGGUCCCUUCGAAUAAUUAAACUGUAUUUCCAGGUCUUAUGUGCUAUUUGAAGAGGAACAAUGAGGUCUUUAAUAAAAGAAUUUCGUGCUUGAAUUUUCACAGCUUUGGAGGAAAGGAAGCCAAUGUUCUGGAGUGGAUAUCCAAGGGUUUCCUGAUGUCAUUUUUUUUAAAAGAAAAGAACAUACUACCUAUUUCUGUCCUCUAAAGUCAGCAUAGAUUCUCUGCAAAGCCAUUUCUAUCUAACUAAAUAAGCACUCUACCAACCUCCUUUUGAGCUCCCCAGUGCUGCCAAUCCAAGUAGAACACAAAUGGCACUCUAUCUUGCUAGGGAAUUGACUCACAGACUCACACAAUGAGAGAAUGAACAUGCCAGAGAUAAAUGCAAGUGUUACAGACUGAAUUGUGCCCCCCUUCAAAUUCAUAUAUUGAAGCCCUAACCCCACAAUUUGACUGUAUUUGGCGAUAGGGCCUUUAAGGAGGUAAUUAAGGUUAAAUGAGGUCAUAAGAGUGGGUGGUUAUAAGGACCGCUGGUCAAUCUAAGAAGAGAGAGAGACAUUAGGGAUGCACAUGCACAGAGGCCAUGCAAGGACACAGUGAGAAGACGACUAUCUGCCAGGCAGGGAGGGAGGCUCAGGAGAAACCAAAUCUGCCAAAACCUUGAUCCUGAACUUCCAGCCUCCAGACUGUGAGAAAAUGAGUUUCUGUUGUUUAAGCCCCACAGCCUGUGGCAUUUUGUUACGGUAGCCCCAGCAGACUAAUAAAGUGGGCCUUACCAGUAAGAGCAUACCACUGUUUUCUAAUAUUGCCAUCAAGUUUACUAUUUCAAAUUCAAUGAACUUUCUUUCUCUAGUCUAUUUACUCCUUUAGCCAACACAGACACUUUAGUAGAUGCUAGGAUCUGCAUUGGAUGAGAUCAAAAAUGUCGCUGCCUUCACGGAGCUAUGUUCUCAUCGAGUGAAAGAAACUACCUGACUAAACAAACAAGUGAAAAAUGUAAUUUCAGAUAAUAAGUGCUGAGGAAGAAUUAAACAAAUCCAGGUGAUAGCCUGGAGGGGGGUCUGCUUUAGGAACGCGAUCAGGAAGGUCUCUGCGAGGAGGUGCUACUUAAGUUGAGACUUGCAAAAUGAGAAGGAGCUAACCAAGUGAGGAGCUGGGAGGGAAGUUUUUCAGACAAGAAAUGGGGAGAGCAAAGCCCUAGUGAUGAGAACUGGCUUCGUUGGCUUGAGACUCUGGAAAAAGGCCAGCGUGACUGUAAUGUCAUAAAGGAGGAAAGAGUAGUUUGUCAUAUGUUUGAAGAAGAGUCCAGGGCCCAGAGUGUUACAUAGAAUGACUGUUAAAGGCCUAGAGGGGCUCCAUUUUCUAUUUCAUAAAGUAGUCACUGAUACAAGACUGUGCUUUCAUUUUUCUCUCCUUCUUUGUAACAUAUUGUCUUUCUGGGCUUCUGCUCCCUACCUAUUCCUCACCUAGUUUUCUCCAUCUCAUGUAAUGACACAACCCUCCCACUACUCAAUUGCUCAAGCCCCAGAUGUAGAAAAUGCCUCCCUCUCUCUCAUCCCCCGUUUCCACAAUCUAUCAGCUCAAUCUAUCCACUCAACCUUCAAAAUACACCUCGAAUCCCCUCACUUCUCUUCACCAAGUCUAGUCAGCAUUCCACACAUAACUCUGCAAUAGCCUCUUAAUGAUCUUGGAACUUCCAUCUUUGCCCUGCCUGCCACCUGUUCUCUAUCCAGCAAUCAGUGGUCUUGUAAAAACACAAGUCAGAUUAUGUUGUUCCCUCCAAUGGCCUCCCAUUGCACUCAGAACACAAUCCAAGCUAUGAGGGCAGAUGAGACUUGGCUUUUCCUGCUUAUACAAGCUCAUCCCAUACCACUCUCUGCUUGUUCCCUGGGCCCCAUACACUGACCUCACUCCUUUUCCUGGAACACACCAAGCUUUCUUCCGUUUACUGUGGACCCGCUGCUCCAUCAUUCCCAUCUCAGAGAAGUCUUCUCAGAGAAGUUUUCCACAGCCUCCCAGGGUAAAGUGUCUCUUCCCCUUAUCUCCAGUUACUCUCAAUCAUAUCACACUGUUUACUUCCUCCUUUGUACUUUCCGGAGUCUGAAAUGAUGGUAUUUAUUUGUUUCAUUGUUUAUUUUCUGUCUCUCCUUAACAAUAUCUAAGCUCCACAAGGGCAGAAUGUUUGUCUAUCUUAUUUACUUACUGCUGCAUCCUCCACAUCUAUGCCAAGUGAAUGCAUGGAAUCUGUAGUCCUGUCUUGCUAGUUAAAGAUUUUGUUUUAUAAAGAUUUCCGAGGAAUCUCUUUAUGGUGUAUCUGUGGUAAGGAUGAGAUAGUUAGCUUGACCUUCCCUCGUUGCCAAGAGUUCUGCUGAUAGAGGUGAACUAUUGGUUCUAAAAUCCUAUGCUUAACAGGACAUCAUUGCCAUCAAAUAUUUGUUAUGCCUCUGUUUUGUACUGAGUGACUUACUUUGCAUCAUACAAAUUUAAAAGAAAACUAAUUUUAACUGCUCUCAAGGAGUUCACAAAACAAGCAAGGAGAAAUGGAAAAACAACUACAAUAUGAUAUACAAAGUCUAUAGUGGAAAGAUAGACAUGAAAGUACAGAUUAUGGAGAAAUUCAUUCUCCAUGAAAGUAAGGCAACAAGAAAAGUAGCAGAAAGGGUGACAUUUAGGCAAGACCUUCAUGGAUAAUUGUGACAAUCAGAGAGGGAGGUAGGACACUUCUAAUGUGGAAACUGCUUGAAAAGUUAGCCAAUGUGAACUUGCAUGAAAUUUUCCAAAAACAAUGAGUCAGAUCAGGGACUAGAGGGAGCAAUUAUCUGAUACAGCUUGAUGUUGGAGACGGUAAUAUUUGGUUUCCAAUUCUACAGUUCCAGGUUUCUAUGCUAUAGAUCAGAAUACGUGAACUGACUAAAUCUAGUUCACGGUUGUCUUUGUUUACUCUGCAGUGUUUUGAAAGUCAGGAGAUUUCACAUACAAAUAUGAAUUUCUGACUUUCAUUGAAAAACCAGACGGUAUGUCAAGGUUGGCCUGCAUUCCCAAAAGGCCACCGUGGGCUGAGCUGUAGUGACUGCCCCGUUUAGGUGGGGCAGGAGGGCUCAACUUUGCCAAAGUUCCUGCCAACUUGUUUCCCUCAUUUUACCUGCUUAGCACUGUGCAUUCUGAGCUUACUGCAUUGUCUUUUGGCUUAAUGUAUUUGCUCUGACAAGAAAAACUGUGACAUUUAAGAGGGAACUUUUAGUUCACAUUUUACUUAAGUAUAAAAUACACUGAGAAAAGUGUGUAAAUCAGUAGGGCUCACUGAAUUUUCACAAAAUGAACUCACUGUGUAACCACCACCCAGGGCAGGAAACAGAAUGCUACAGCCACCCAAAAGCUUCCUUCAUACCCACCCCCCCAUCAUCACCAACCAAAGAAUACAACUACCAUUACUUCUAACACUGUAGAUUCAUUUGGGAUGGUUUUACACUUUUAAAAAUGGGGUAACAUUAUGUACCCUUUUGUGUCUAGCUUUUUUUCAAGCAAUAUAAUGAUUUUGAAAUUCAUUCAUGUUAUUUCUUGUAGCAGUAAUUACUCUUUUUCAUUACUGUAUAGUAUUCCAUUGUGUGAGCAGAUCACAAUUUAUCCAUUCUACUGCUGUUUGUUUCCAGUUUGCAAUACUUAUUCAUAAUGCUGCUUUGAACAUUCUUUUACACAUCUUUUGAUAUACAUAUGUAAGAUUCUUUUUUGGGUAUACACUUAGAAGUAGGAUUGCUACAUGAGAGGGUAGGCAUAAAUAUAGCUUCGAUAGCUACUGCCAACAGUUUCCUGAAGUGAUUGUAUCAAUUUACACUUUCCCUAGCAACAUAUGAGAGUCCCAUUUUUCCAUACUGUCACCAUAAUUUGGUAUUGCAAUUGAAUUUUUUUUUUAAUUUUAGCCAUUCCUUUUGGUAUGUAAUGGUAUCUCACUGGAAUUUUGAUUUGCAAUUCUCUGAUGACUAAUAAUGUUGAGAAAGUUUCAUAUGUUUAUUGGCUGUUUGAAUACUCUUUUCUUGUGAAGUGCCUAUUCAAGACUGUUGUCUGUUUUGAAAUGCAUGUAUUCUCUUUCUGUUUUUGAUUGGUAUGUGCUCUUUAUGUAUUCUAAAUAAAUUUCCUUUAUUCAAUAUAUAUCCUAAAAUAUAUUCUCCCAAUCUGUGGC